ACCGAUGACGGCGAUUACAACGUCAAGCUGCGCAAUCUCGUCCGCUUCCUCGAAGACGGCGACAAGACGAAGAUCACGUUGCGUUUCCGCGGCCGCGAAAUGGCCCACCAGGAAAUCGGCAUGCGCGUGCUCGAGCGUCUGCGCACGGACCUCGAAGAAGUUGGCCAGGUCGAGCAGAUGCCUAAGAUGGAGGGGCGCCAGAUGAUCAUGGUGCUCUCGCCGAAGAAGAAGAAGUAAGGUGUUGUCGCGUGUCGGUCGUGUUACGGCAGGGCGCGGCGGCCCGAAGAGUUUGGUAGGACGUGCAGUGCGCCAAGUGGCGUGAAGCACGGGAA
rnacentral:misc_RNA from 1 species